rnacentral:lncRNA from 1 species
GUAGGGAGAGUGAAAGCAUUCUCUGCAGGGGGUGUAAUCCAGCUCAUUUAAUCAAUGUAGCUUUACUCCGAUUUCUUACCUUUAGAGUUUAAGGAACUAAAAAGCAAGACCCUCUGGUGAUUCUUCCACUGUGCCUUCUUUCUGGCCUCUUGGAUUCAGCUGGGGCAUUUGUCGAUUGAUUUUAUUUAAGGCACUGUUCUUGACUUGCUUCUUUUGCUAACAUCCCUCUGUUUUCAAUCUUCACCGAACAUCCUUUAUGUCUUACUAAGGAAUUCAGCAUUUCCUGCCUAAACCAUUGUAAAAGUCAUAUUUGUGGAUAUUUUGUGAUAUGAGAAUAUCCAUACAAUUUACCUUCCCUGGUAAGGUCAAAAUUCUCUUCUUAAGAGUUAAUCAUAGGUGAGCAAUCCCCAAAAGGUAAUCACCCAAAAUUUAAAAAUAAAGCAAGAGAAUAUAAAGCCAAAUAAGAUAUCUCUGAUAUUAUUUUCCAACUGUGUACAGGAUCUUAUUGUUGGGCAUUAAGGUCCUUCUAAGCUUGCCCUAACUUAUCUUUCUUAGAUAUUUACGUGGAUAAUAUCCUCUAUGUUCUAGCCAUGCACUAGCUCUAAACUUUCCUCAAAAUAUUAUGUUAGUUUCUCUGCUGGGAGAAAAUUCAGGGAGGCUGAAGUGCAGACAUUCAGUUAGUUAGACAACUGUAGCUCAGUCACUGUCUGGCUGAGCUUCCCACUCUUGGCAGCUGACUUAAUGUUUCUUCACUCUUUACAGAUGGAUAAAAAUUGCAAAUUGUAAGUGUUUAUAUAUGGGUUAAAUGAGAUAAUAUAAUCAGAUAUUUAAACAUAGUGUUUAUUCAAUAAAAAAAACAAGUGUAGUAAUUACCUUAUGAAACUUAUACACACAAAUCCCUCUUCCUGGAGACAUGGGUAAAUCUCAGCUCUAACAUCUUGGGCUUAAGUUUCAGCUUCAGUAUCAUCUCCCCUUUAAAUUAAAUUUCAUUCCUUUAUUCCAAUGAGGAUUUUAACACAGAAUAUUUAUAUUUUACCACAAUUAGAAAAGGACAUUUUAUAGUUCCUACUUAAGAGUGACUCUUUCAAUGGCAUGAAUAAUCUAUUUAGAUUCAUAUUUUCAUAAUGCCUGGCACAAUGUGAAGUCUCAAUAAAUUGAAUUAUCAGGAACUGAUAUUAAUUUGGCAGAUGGUCUAGGAGAAUUUUAAAAGGUGCACAGCACCCUUUUAAACACAGCCUGAGAGAUGCUUGCACUUUUAGAAUCCCUAUGCCUUCCUAGUGUCCCCUGGGACCUCCCCCUGCAGUAGCUUUUGUCUGACCACUGGGCUACCCCACUCAUGGCUCAGCCUCCUCCUUCCAGCAUUUCCCUCUGGACUCCUCUUGGAAGAAACCUCCUGAUGAUUAGCAGCAUGAAGAGCAUAACCGAUAACUGCAGGGAUACAGUUCAGCUGAGGAGGAAAGUGGGCCAAGAUGGAGUGUCCUAUCUAUACCACCCAUCACACAGAACAUUGAAAUGCAUCUAUAUUAGUGAUUGCUGAGGACAAGAAAACAAACUGAAGAAAAAGAACCUCCAGGGAGACAAGGAGGCAAGCAUUUGUGGGAGAAGAUACAGCUGAUGACAAGAAGUUUGCUAAAUUUCGAGUAAAUAAUUGAGGCCAAGGGUGGGCAAGUGUGAGAGUAUAGAAACCCUCAGCACCCUUUUCUCAUGGACCUCUUGAGAAAUAUGGGAACACAGCGAGACGCAGAAGCAAACUUCCUUUGUGGUGAAAGUGUAAGGGAGAGAACAGUGGUGCCCACAGGCAAAGCUUCACUAAAGUCCUUCACUCCUAUCGCUCCUAUGGUACAAAACAAAAAGCUGGUCCAGGAAGGCUUGCAAAGCUGUUCUUCCCAUGGAAAAUCUAUGGCAGUUGUGGUAAGGGAAGACUGAGGGAGGGAGUCAGAGAGAGGAAGAAAAUAAGGAAGAAGUCUACUUUUGGAGAAAGACAAGAAGCAUCCAGAUUGUUAGACAUUCUUCUGGCCAGACCUACUGAGAAAAGGGUACUGCACCUACUUAAGACUGUGGUGAACCAAACAUUUCUUGGAAGAAAACAGCUUUUUCCCAUCUCUAGUACUUUUCAUUUCAACAAGAAUUUCAUAGAAAAGCAUCCUUUUGAAAGUAUGUUCCUGGCGCAACUGGCAAUAUAUCAUCUCUAUAUUCAAUAUAUAAUUCAAGAUAAAAUCAAAUAUAGGUCAGGAUGAUUAUUUUUGAAAUGUAUACCAAUCAAUGUAUUGGAAUAAAGACAUAACUUCUACCUUUGAUAACCUGGAAAUAUUUUUUGAGACACAUAGUUUUGGAUGUCAAAGGAAGAGAAAAAAUGUUAGAGGCAGCUAUGAGGAUGCGACAAGGAAUCCAGGCCAAGUUUUCAGGCAGGAAUAUGAAAGGGGUGAUUAACGAAUCAUGAGCAGACCGACUUGACUAACCCAUAAAGGUUGGAGUGGAAUGGCGUGAUCUUGGCUCUACUGCAAUCUCUGCCUCCCGUUUUCGAGUGGUUCUCCUGCCUCAGCCUCCCGAGUAGCUGGGAUUACAGGCAUGUGCCACACGUGUGUUGUUUUAAGCCACUGUAUCUGUGGUGAUUUGUUCUCCAGCAAUAGAAAAGCAACACAAUCUUCCUGCAACCUCUACUGCACUACCUACUGUAAAUUCUGGAGGAAUAUCACCAGUAUCUAUAAAAGUGAAAUAUGCACUGUGAAUUAGUAUUUUUGCAAAAAUCAGUGUAACAUAUAUGUCUAAAGUUUGCAUAAAUCUCAAAUACUUAAACAAUGAGACUUGAGUUGUAAUCAAUGAUAAUUUGGUACAAAAUAUUGCAAUCUAGGUAACAUUUAUUUUCAAACUUGAUGUUUUAUAUGUAUUUUAUUUCCUUAGCAGUAACCUAUCCGGUUUCAACUAUCUUAAAUGUGUUAUGUGGUUUCUACUGCUUCACAAUUCAACUCAUAAUAUCCUAAUUCAAGUAGAGAAUAACAAAAUCAGCACUACAUAUUCUUUUGAAAUUCCUGAGCAAAUUUAGAUGACAGGUGUAGAAAUUGCAUGACUAAUUCAGAGGAUAUGAGAUUGAAAAGCCGUAUACUAGCUGGCACAUAUGAUAUUUCCAUCUCAUUCAAUUCAGAGAGCGUAGCCCUCAGAAUCACCUUUUAUUAGCAAAACAUUUGAGGACUGAUAUAAAUUUGAAUAAGUGGCAAAGCAAUUUGUCAUAGAUCAAAAUGCCUUUCCUUCUUUGCUACUACAAGCAUUUAAAGCCUUCUUGCAUGUUUACGUUCAUUAAUUUCACUCCAUGGGCAUACUGUAGCAUGAUAAAGCACUGGAAAACAAAAUACUGCAUUGAUAAGUACUUUAAAAUGCUUAUAAGCUUCAAAUUGAAUUAUUUGUCUAAAUAAGAUUAUCUGAUUAUAAAAGGAAAUAAAUAUUCAUUGUGGUUAAUGUGGCAAUUACAGAUAAACAAAAUAAAACAUCAGGAGUACUUCCAGAAUUCAGUUUUAAACAUUCUUAGUAAUAUAGAAUGUAUCUGCAAAACAUUUGAAAAUAAGUAAUUGUUAGGUUAAAAAUAAAGACAUUUGUACUAAAAACAAUUCAAAAAUAAAAUUAAGAAAUCAUCUUAUUUACAAUGAUAUCAAAACAAAGAAUAUACUUAAAAAUAAGCUUAAUCAAAGAGGUGAAAGAUUUGUAUAAUGAAAACUACUAAACUUUAAUAAAAGAAAUUAAUGGAAAGAUAGCUUGUGUUUGUGAAUUGGGAGAUUUAAUAUCGUUAACAUGUUCAUACUAGGCAAAGUGAUCUACAGAUUCAAUGCAAUCCCUAUCAAAAUUCAAAUGGCAUUCUGCUAUGUUCUGAAUGCCUCUGCACCUUCAAAAUGCGUAUGUUGAAAUUCUGCCUACAAAGUCUAUGGUAUUAUGAGGUGAGGUUUUUGAGGUAAUUAGUCUUGAGAACAGAGCCCUCUUAAUUGGGAUUAGUGCUGUUAUAGAGGAGACCCAAGAGAGAUACGUACUCCUUUCUGCCAUGUAAGGUUAGAGAGAGAAGGUGUCUGUCUAUGAGGAAAUGUGCUGUCAGUAGACACCAAAUCUGCCAGCACCUAUUUGACUUCCAGCCUCCAGAACUGUGAGAAAUAAUUUCUACUUUUUAUGACACCCAGCCUAUGUUCCUUUGUUAUAGUAGCCAGAAUAAACAAAAACACAAUGUUUACAACAAUUAAAAUAACCCUAACAUUUAUAUGAUACCACAAAAGACCCCAAAUAGGGAAAACAGUCUUGAGAAAGAAGAACAAAGUUGGAGGCCUAACACUUCCUGAUUGUAAAUUAUAGUGUAAUGCUACAGUGACCAAAAGAGUGUGUUCAUGGCAUAAAAGUAGACAUACAGACAAACAGAACAGAAUAGAAAUUUCAGAUAUAAAUCCAUGCAUAUACACUAAAGCGAUCUUCAAAAAGGGUGCAAAAACACACAAUGGGGAGAGGUAGUCUCUUCAACAAAUGGUACUGGGAAAGCUGGUGUUGUGUUUUCUCCUAAUUUCUUCAUGAGGUCUCUCACUGGAGAACUGCUGUGAACCCUAGCCCAGAGAGGGCUACAGGGAUUUGGUUCUGGAUGUUAAUAGUGUGCCCAUCCUAGGCACUUCUUUAUCCUGGUGAGUGACCUAAUGCCUUUGUGUUCAACCCAUGAUCUAGUAAGUCUCUGAGAGAAAAGUUGUUUAUACUAUCAGACAGCACUCUGGCUCUUGCCUGCUCUGUGUCCAGCUUAUUCCUACCAAGAUAAUCAAUCUCUAGGAAAGCCCUGGCCAGGAAGAGAGUUAGGUUCGGGCGUAUGGGUCAGGUGAGACACAAAGGAGACCUCGCAGGUCAAGACACAAAAACCACAGAAGCAAUUUUAAUAUUUAGAGAUUCCGGUGAGAAGAAGGCAGCACACUUUGUGGGGCCAACUGUCUCAAGGGUGGCCGAAACCUGCUUCUGGAAUGAGAAACUCCAACUUAUAUUCAAAAUUGAUGCUGAGUCAACACUUAAUUAUAGGAAUUCACUACAACUGGAUAAGCACAUGCAAAAAACAAAACAAAACAACAACAACCAAAAAAACCCACCAAAACUAUAACUGUCUUACAACAUGUAUAAAACCAAACUCAAAACUGAUGAAAAAUUUAAACAUAAGACUUAAAACUGCAAAACUCUUGAAAGAAAACAUACAGAGAAAGCUUCGUAACACUGGACUUGGCAAUUAUUUCUUAGAUAUGACAAUAAAACCACAAAUGACAAAAGAAAAAUUAGACAAGCAGAAAAAAGCUUCUCCAUAGCAAAGGAAACAAUCAACAGAGUAAAAAGGCAGCCUACAGAAUGAAGGAAAUACCUGCAAACCAUACAUACCAUAAUGAUGAUCCUUAUACAUGGUUUGAAAAUAUAUAUAUAUGGAACUCCUACAACUCAACAGCAAAAAUCACAAAUCAACCAAUUUAAAAAUGGGCAAGAGACUUGAAUAGACAUUUCUCCAAAGAAGACAUUUAAAUGGCCAACAGGUAUUUAAAAAAAUGUUCAAUAUCACUGAUCAUCAGGGAAAUGCAAAUCAAAACCAUACUAUUAGGAUGACAAUUAGCAAAGAGACAGAAGUGUUGGUGAGCAUGUGGAGAAAUUAAAAUCUAUGUAUACUAUUGGUAGAAAUGUAAAAAGGUACAGCUACUAUGAAAAACAUUACAGAGGUUUCUUAAAGAAUUAAAAAUCGAAUCACUAUGUGACCCAGCAAUCUCACUUCUGGAUAUAUAUUUUAAAAGUUGAAAUCAGCAUCUCAAAAGAUAUUUGCACAGUCAUGUUCAUUGCAGCAUUAUUCAUAAUAGCCAAGAUAUAGAAACAAUCUAUGUGCUUGUUGACAGAAGAAGGGAUUACAAAAAGCCAACUAUGGUAUAUAAAUAUAAGGGAGUAUUAUUUAACCUAAAAAGGAAGACAUUCUGCCCUAUGUGACAACAAGGAUGAACAGGAGGACAUAAUGCUAAGUGAAAUUAGCCAGUCACUGAAGAAUAAUACUGCAUCAUUUCACUUAUAUGAGUUAUCUUAAAAAAAAAAACAAAAAAAAAUUGUUUACAUUUACGUAUAUUUGAUAAUGAUAAAAUUGAAUUUUUUAAUAUAGAAUGACCACUAUUAUUGUCCCUUAAUAUAGUUAAUGGCAAAUAUGUUAAAAUGUUUUACUUCUUUCUGGGAGGUAUCAAUUAUCAAAUGUGUUAGAAUAUUUACUAUUUUUUUUUUACUUUUGUUGUUGUUUUAAGUGUUUGCAUUUGUGUGGGUAUACGAUUUGACAUUUAGAAGUCAAUAUCCAAGUAAAUAUCCAAGUAGUCAAAAGCAAUUGACAUACUACUUUCUGAUUUUGAUCUAUGGUCUUGUACUUAGAAAAACUUUCUCCAUCACUAAGUAUAUUAAAAAAAUCCUAGCAUUCCUGGAAAAGUAAUGAGCACAUAGAAACGCUUAAAAGAGCUUCACUUUUCUCUUAACCAGUAAAUUCCAUCAAUAAACAUUUGCAAGAGAUUUUGAUGAGGGUUCAAUUUGCCUGUUUUCCUAAGAAAGGGGAAAUAAAUUAUUAUUCCACUUUUAAUUCUUUUCUUCACAACAAUGAAGUUCAUUUUUUUAACCUUUAAAUCUUUGAUUAAUUUCUAUUUGAAUUCAUACAUUUUUGAAGUAAUAAAGUGAGUGUUUUUUUCUUGAAAAUAUAUAUUUUUAUUUUUUGUUUGUUUAGGGGAAGGUUGGAUUAUGAAUACCCUUUAUAUUCAGAUUCACUAAUUAUUUUGGAAGGUCUAAUAAACUUAUCUUCUAUUUAUGUUUAAUGUAUGCUUUCUUAAUAUUUCACUUGGAUUCUCAAUAAAUAUUUAGGCAAGGGAUAUCAAAACAAUGCCAAAUGACUAUAUUUCAACUCAAAGAGCUGUUAAGAAGACAUAUAUCCCCACGUUUCCCCAUUUUACACAGAGUGGGGGUCCAGUAGGUUACUUAGAAUCAUGUUUGUAAGAAACUUCAAAAAAGAACGGUCCAUGGGUUCUCUGAUUCAUUGUUGCAUUUAAAAUAUUGUUUAUUGUUCAUAAUAUAAUACCUUUCCAAAUUUAUUUACUCAAUAUCACAUAUCUAGUUCUUGAAACAGUUUCUAAGGUAUAAAAGGCAUUCUAGAAAUAUUUUUAGAAAAAC